rnacentral:tmRNA from 1 species
GGGGAUGACAGGUUUUGACAUAGAGAAGAUAUUGACUCGUGCAAAGCAGAGAACCAAGUUCUCUUUAAACAGCUUGGAAACAUUAAGUGUAAACAACUUAGUUACAAAAGCGAAGGCUUCAGUUUCUCCAUUUUUUGGACAAGCUGACCUCGCUUUCUCUUACGCUAUCGCCUAAGGGACGGUCACUUACCACAUAUCUCGUACGGUAGGUUGAUUGCUAUAAAUUGAGGUUAGGAUAACUUUCAGUCUCGGAGGUUAUCUGAAAAAAAGAUGACUCGUUCGUAUUGUAUUUUGCUUGUUCCAAGCACUACGAACUAAAACACUAAACAAGCUAUGCAUUGUAGACCCGUUUCAAUUCUCUUUAUGGAUGUGGUUUCGAUACCACCAUCUCCACAA